ACUCCUACGGGAGGCAGCAGUGGGGAAUAUUGCACAAUGGGCGCAAGCCUGAUGCAGCAACGCCGCGUGAGCGAUGAAGGCCUCGGUCGUAAGCUCUGUCCUCAAGGAAGAAUAAAUAGACGGUACUUGAGGAGGAAGCCCCGGCUAACUACGUGCCAGCAGCCGCGGUAAUACGUAGGGGCGAAGCGUUAUCCGGAAUCACUGGGCGUAAAGGGUGCGUAGGCGGUUUUUCAAGUCAGAAGUGAAAGGCUAUGGCUCAACCAUAGUAAGCUUUUGAAACUGUUAAACUUGAGUGCAGGAGAGGAAAGUGGAAUUCCUAGUGUAGGAGGUGAAAUUCGUAGAUAUUAGGAGGAACACCAGUGGCGAAGGCGACUUUCUGGACUGUAACUGACGCUGAGGCACGAAAGCGUGGGGAGC
rnacentral:rRNA from 1 species